rnacentral:rRNA from 1 species
AGAGUUUGAUCCUGGCUCAGGACGAAUGCUGGCGGCGUGCUUAACACAUGCAAGGUCGACGGGGUCCGGGGCAACCUGGAUAACCGGCGAACGGGUGCGUAACACGUGAACAACCUGCCUUCGGUGUGGGGGAUACGCCGGGCUAACGCCCCGGGGUAAUACCGCAUACGUUCUUUGAGAGGAGUCUCUCGAAGAGGAAAGCUCCGGCGCACGGGGAGGGGUUCGCGGCCUAUCAGCUUGUUGGCGGGGUAACGGCCCACCAAGGCGACGACGGGUAGCUGGUCUGAGAGGAUGGCCAGCCACAUUGGGACUGAGAGAUGGCCCAGACUCCUACGGGAGGCAGCAGUGGGGAAUCUUGCGCAAUGGUCUAACGACUGACGCAGCGACGCCGCGUGUGGGAGGACGCCUUUCGGGGUGUAAACCACUGUUGCCCGGGACGAACUGCGCGAUUCAUCGCGCGUGACGGUACCGGGUGAGGAAGCACCGGCUAACUCCGUG